CAUGAUAUGUUGAGGACAGCUACAGUUCACUGACUCUGUGUGUUUGCAUAUGUGUCCUUCCUCUCUGCUCCCAGCCUUUAAGAGGCCAGUGUUGAUCAGUGGCUGUCCAGGCCUUUCAGAGCCACUGACACGCCGGCAGCACAAUGAUGAUGUCACUGACUCUACUGCUGGCCACCCUGGGGCUCCUUGUUCAGGGUUCAUCAGGACAAAUCACCCUGACUCAGUCUCCUGGAUCUCAGUCUGUUGUUCCAGGACAGACUGUCUCUAUCAGAUGUAAAAUCAGUACAAGUGUUAGUAGCUCCCUCCACUGGUACCUUCACAAACCUGGAGAAGCUCCUAAACUCCUGAUUAGGUAUGCCACAACUCGUCAGUCUGGAGUUUCAAGUCGUUUCAGUGGAAGUGGAUCUGGUUCUGACUUCACUCUGACCAUCAGUGGAGUUCAGGCUGAAGAUUCAGGAGUUUACUACUGUCAGCAGAGUUACAGCUUGUUCACACAGUGAUACAACGUCGUACAAA